CAAAGUGCUGGGAUUACAGGUGUGAGCCACUGCACCUAGCUGAGAAAUGGUUUUAUAAUAGUAAUUGGAGACUGCACAGCUGUCAUCAUAGCUACCAUUUGUUAAGCACUUAGUAUAUGCCAAGACUAUCCUAGGCACUUUACGUUUAUAAACUCAUUUCAUUCACAACAGCCCUUGUGGCAGCUUCAAUUAUUAUCCCGAUUUUGCUGAAGAGGAAACUAUGGCAUAGAAAAGUGGCAGAUUCCAUUCAUAUCCUCAUUUUGAGGAAGAGGAAACUAUGGCAUAGAGAAGUUAAAUGACGUGCCCAAGGUUUACAAAGGUGUAAGUGGAAGAUCUUGGAUUAUAAGACUCUUUUGGGAAAUUAGAUUUGAUCCUUAGAGGUUUCCUAGUCUCAUUUCCCAUUGAGGAAGGGAUUCCUUUCUCUGACAAUCCUGGUUCUUUGGACUCUGCAGGAGCAUUGAAGAUGGGAGAUCACUGCUUCAACAGCAAGACACUCUAGUAUGGGCUAUUGUAAUUGCUAGAAAGUUUUUUUUCCUAUGUUGAAGUGAAAUCUCACAACUUUGAUUCACUAGUCUUUGUAAUAACAGAAAAUAAGCCCAUUGUUCUGACUGUUGAGAUAUGUGAAGGUUUUCAUGUCAUUCACCACCAACCCCAACAUCAGUUGGAGACUUCAAUACCAUACUUUCAAUAAAAGAACAUUUAGACAGCAGAAUAAGGAAACAGAAGUCCUGAACAACACUAUAAGUCAAUGAAACCUGACAGAUUUAUGUAGAACACUUAACCCAACCACACCAGAGUCAACAUUCUUCUCAAGUGUACCUGGAACAUUCUUCAGGAUAGACAUAUGUAAGACCACAAAACAAGUUCCAAUAGCUUCUUCCCCACCUCUGGCUGCCGGCAGGACCUUUCUCUUACUGCUGCUGGGACCCUGUGUCAUCACCCAGGCCGAGCACGAUGCCCCCUAAAAAGGGAGGUGAUGGAAUUAAACCACCCCCAAUCAUUGGAAGAUUUGGAACCUCACUGAAAAUUGGUAUUGUUGGAUUGCCAAAUGUUGGGAAAUCUACUUUCUUCAGUGUAUUAACCAGUAGUCAGGCUUCAGCAGAAAACUUCCCAUUCUGCACUAUUGAUUCUAAUGAGAGCAGAGUACCUGUGCCAGAUGAAAGGUUUGACUUUCUUUGCCAAUACCACAAACCAGUGAGCAAAAUUUCUGCCUUUCUAAAUGUAGUGGUUAUUGCUGGCCUUGUGAAAGGAGCUCACAAUGGGCAGGGCCUGGAGAAUGCUUUUUUAUCUCAUAUUCGUGCCUGUGAUGGCAUCUUUCAUCUAACACAUGCUUUUGAAGAUGAUGAUAUCACGCAUGUUGAAGGAAGUGUAGAUCCUAUUCGAAAUAUAGAAAUAAUACAUGAAGAGCUUCAGCUUGAAGAUGAGGAAAUCAAGCUUGAAGAUGAGGAAAUCAGCUUGAAGAUGAGGAAGUCAAGGCUGCUGGAAAGUACAGACAACAGGGCAGAAAUUAUAUUGUUGAAGAUGGAGAUACGGUCUUCUUCAAAUUUAACACACCUCAACAACCGAAGAAGAAAUAAAAUUUAGUUGUUGCUCAGAUAAACAUACAACUUCCAAAAGGCAUCUGAUUUUUUUUAAAUUAAAAUUUCUGAAAACCGAUGGAACAAUUAAAGGUGGGAAGAUGGGAAUCUUCAACAAAUUAUUUUUAUUUGUUUUAAAAUUAAAAUACUGUGUACCUCUCCACCAAUGAAAUGCAAAUUCACUAAAUGUGAACAGCUUUGCUUUUCACAUGAUUAAGACCCUACUCCAAAUUGUAGAAGCUUUUCAGGAACCAUAUUACUGUCAUGAUACUUCAUUAAUCUCCAUCGUGUAUGCCAACCCUGACACAUUUGACAGUGAAGACAAUGCGGCUUACUCCUUUUUGAAUCUAUGGAUAAUGCAUGUUUCACAGUACUCCAGAUGUCUACACUCAGUAAAACAUUUGAAAAAAAAAAGUUCCAAUAAAUGUCAAAAGAUUGAAAUAAUACAAAGUGUCUUCUUUGAUAACAAUGGAAUGAAGCUAGAAAUCAA